CACUAAAUGUCUGAAGCAAGUAGUGGUCUCUUAAACCACAUAUAGUAGGUUAGCAACUACUUUUAGUGA
rnacentral:tRNA from 1 species